GGCUGAGUGGUAUAACGAGUGGAAAAUGGCAUAACCUAUUGAAUUAUCUGCAUAUUGUACGGACUGCAAAGCCGUGGACCUCGGUUCGAUUCCGGGCUCAGCCUCCA
rnacentral:tRNA from 1 species